GUUGUUAAUUAGUCACUAGGCGUGGGUCCCAGAGGAGCUUUGGGGACGGGAGGAAGGGAAUACGAAAAAGUGGCAGUUGUUUGCCAGUUCCGGCCCUCAAUCUGAUAAAGCAGGGCACGGCACCCCUUGAGGCAAGGAAAUAAGAAAGCUGCCUCUGAUCCAAGCAGAGCAGGUCCAACUUCAGUGGCAGAUCUGGUGUCCUUGGAGUGGCUGAAGACCACCACCCUCCACAGGGCUGCGCUCAGGCACACAGCCAUUCUUCCCUUACCUGAGUGAGCUUCCUCUGCACGUUGUUUAUAUCACUGGCAGAGCCUGUAGUUGGAAAGGGGGCCGAGUGACGAAUGGACUUUGUAUGAAAACACCAACCUGGGACAGACCUUCAGUCAAGGUUGAGAUGGGGUUGGGGUAUAUAACCUGGCCUUGCCUUUAACUUGGAUCAUGACUGGCUCUGAGGCUAAAGCAGGGGCAGAGCAGGGGCUGGGGCUGCCCUAAAAGCUGCAAUCAGUGGCCCUGCCAACACUAGAGCCAAGGCUAAGAUCCAGGCCAAGGCAGUGGCUGAGGCAGAACUGAAAACAGGACCAGUGCCCCAGGCCAAGGCUGGGGAUGGAGCAGUGGCCAGGACACAGUGACCUACACUGAGGCCGUGACUAUGACAAAGGAUGUGGGCAAGAUGGAAGCUAUGACUAAGAAUAGAGUCAUGACUGAGACUAAGGCAAAAUCCAUGGCAGAACCUGGUAUAGUGCCCCAAACCAAGCCAAAGGUGAUGCCUAUGGCCAGGGUCAGUGCAGUGACCAAGUACGAAGUCAAGGCUGGUGCUGGACAUGAAGCCAAUAUCAGGUCCUUUGCCAAGGCUGAUGAUAAGGCCAAUAUUGAGUCCAGGCGCCAGAGAAAGAGAGAGGACGGCAUCAAAUUCAGGGCUGGGGCUGGGGACAGAGCUGGUAUUGUAAUCGAGUCCGGUGAUGAGGAUGAAGAAAAUGUCUGCUCCUGGUUCUGGACUGGAGAAGAGCCUAGUGUAGGAUCCUGGUUCUGGCCUGAAGAGGAGACUCCUUCUCAAGUUUAUAAGCCUCCACCUAAGAUCCAGGAAAAGCCCAAGCCCAUACCCAAACCAGAACUCACUAUAAAACAAAAAGCAGCAGCAUGGUCAAGGGCCAGGUAUAGUGUCCUAGUCCCAAUAGAAGGAGGGGAGCCAUCCUUGCCUGCAGAAGGGAAUUGGACUCUGGUUGAGACCUUGAUUGAAACUCCUCUGGGGAUUCGGCCUCUGACCAAGAUCCCACCCUAUAAUGGGCCUUACUUCCAAACCUUAGCUGAGAUCAAAAACCAGGUUAAGUAUAGGGAAAAGUAUGGGCCCAAUCCAAGAGCCUGCCGCUGUAAAUCACAUGACUUUAGUUUAGAGCCUAAAGAGUUUGAUAAACUCGUUGCCCUACUUAAGUUAACUAAGGAUCCUUUUAUUCAUGAAAUAGCUACUAUGAUAAUGGGCAUCAGUCCUGCUUAUCCAUUUACCCAAGAUAUAAUUCAUGACGUAGGUAUUACUGUUAUGAUUGAAAACUUGGUCAAUAAUCCCAAUGUUACAGAACACCCUAGAGCUUUAAAUAUGGUAGAUGACAACUCUGAGUCUUCUGAAGAACCAAAACCAGCAGAGUUAUAUAUACAUCAAGUUUGUAAGGACAUAAUCUCUUACCCGUUGAACUCCCCUGUGCAACUGGCUGGACUAAAAUUAUUAGUGCACCUGAGUGUGAAAUUUGAGGAUCACCGUAUAAUUGCUAAUUAUAUUCCAGAUUUUCUUACCUUGUUAAACAAGGGAAGUGUCAAAACCAAGUUUUAUGUUUUAAAAGUGUUUUUGCGCUUGUCUAAAAAUCAAGCCAAUACAAGAGAACUGAUUAGUGCCAAAGUACUAUCAUCAUUGGUUGCGCCCUUUAACAAGAAUGAGUCAAAGGCCAAUAUUCUUAAUAUCAUUGAAAUAUUUGAGAAUAUAAAUUUCCAAUUCAAAAAGAAGGUGAAGCUGUUUACCAAGGAAGAGUUCACUAAAUCUGAGCUUAUUUCCAUAUUCCAGGAAGCAAAAGAGUUUGGUCAGAAACUCCAAGACUUAGCAGAGCACAGUGAUCCUGAGGUGCUGUCGUCCCUCAACUGGAAUCCUUGGCUCUUUUGAAGGGUGUAUCUGUAGAGGAGAGGCUUGAGAAAAAGGAGGAGCAGGACAAUGGCCUGGAUUUCUGGAGGCCUGCUUUAAAGCUGCUCACUUCUGUGAGGAAGGGAAGGAGGAGGAGACUGGUUCAGAUCUCUGGAGGUUGGUGUGAAGGACAGCCUGCUUUCUGCUAUAGGGCUUAAUACCACUGAAACAAAGCAAGGAGGGAGAAAUUGCACCAUAUCCGUGCAGAUCCACCUCCAGUGGCAGCUCUGGUGGUGUUGGAAUUGCUGCUGACCACCACCCUCAACAGGUCUGCACCCACCCAGGAACAUCCAUCGUCCCCCACCUUGGUUGGGCCUUUUCUGCACUUUGUCUGUGAUACUGACCGAGGCUAGGCUUCGGAAGGAGGUUGAUUGACUGAUGGACUAGUGAUUGACUCUAACAUUUGUUUCCAGCUCUACCACCUGAAUCACUGAAAGAUCAGAGUGUGAAGAUACAAAACUGAGAGGUCUGUGGUAGAGGCUGAGACUGGGGUAGGGUUACUUAACUGGGCCUCCUCUGUAACUUAUACCAUGACUGGGGCUGAGAUUGAACCUGCUGCCCAGGCAAAGCCUGAAAAGAAGGCUGGAGAAGAGGUUGGGGGUGGGGCUGAAAGAGAGAAUG